UACGGGGGGGGGGCAAGCGUUGUUCGGAAUUACUGGGCGUAAAGGGCUCGUAGGCGGCCAACUAAGUCAGACGUGAAAUCCCUCGGCUUAACCGGGGAACUGCGUCUGAUACUGGAUGGCUUGAGUUUGGGAGAGGGAUGCGGAAUUCCAGGUGUAGCGGUGAAAUGCGUAGAUAUCUGGAGGAACACCGGUGGCGAAGGCGGCAUCCUGGACCAAUAUUGACGCUGAGGAGCGAAAGCUAGGG
rnacentral:rRNA from 1 species